GCAACAGCUCAAAUUUGAAAUCUGGUCUUCUGGGCCCGAGUUGUAAUUUGCAGAGGAUGCUUCUGGCAAGGUGCCUUCCGAGUUCCCUGGAACGGGACGCCAUAGAGGGUGAGAGCCCCGUACGGUUGGACACCGAGCCGUUGUGUAGCUCCUUCAACGAGUCGAGUAGUUUGGGAAUGCUGCUCUAAAUGGGAGGUAUAUCUCUUCUAAAGCUAAAUACCGGCCAGAGACCGAUAGCGCACAA
rnacentral:rRNA from 1 species